rnacentral:rRNA from 1 species
AUUGAACGCUGGCGGCAGGCCUAACACAUGCAAGUCGAGCGGCAGCGGGAAAGUAGCUUGCUACUUUUGCCGGCGAGCGGCGGACGGGUGAGUAAUGCCUGGGAAAUUGCCCAGUCGAGGGGGAUAACAGUUGGAAACGACUGCUAAUACCGCAUACGCACUACGGGGGAAAGCAGGGGACCUUCGGGCCUUGCGCGAUUGGAUAUGCCCAGGUGGGAUUAGCUAGUUGGUGAGGUAAUGGCUCACCAAGGCGACGAUCCCUAGCUGGUCUGAGAGGAUGAUCAGCCACACUGGAACUGAGACACGGUCCAGACUCCUACGGGAGGCAGCAGUGGGGAAUAUUGCACAAUGGGGGAAACCCUGAUGCAGCCAUGCCGCGUGUGUGAAGAAGGCCUUCGGGUUGUAAAGCACUUUCAGCAAGGAGGAAAGGUUGAUGCCUAAUACGUAUCAACUGUGACGUUACUCGCAGAAGAAGCACCGGCUAACUCCGUGCCAGCAGCCGCCGUAACAC